GCGGUGAUAGUUAAGUUGGUAUAAUUUAGGACUGUGGAUCCUAAGUCCGGGGUUCAAGUCCCCGUCACCGCU
rnacentral:tRNA from 1 species